CCAUUAUGCAGAAAUGUGAACACACUUUACUCUCUUCCUUCUCCCUGAAAACCAUAGCGCCACCGAACCAGCUUCUUUCUCUUCCUUCGGCCACCGCACCUCUAAUCGAAGAAAGAAGCUUGUUUUCAUGCUCAUCAACACGUUAGCUUCAACUUGAACCAGUUAGAUUUUUGUUUUUGACAAAGUCACUUCCGGCCACCCUUUCAAUGCCUCCGGCCGCCGCGACUCUAGACGAAGAACAAUGACAUUUUCUGCUCCAUUUAGCUCAUUUUUCAUUUUCAGUCUUCACUCUUUUCCCUCUCUCGCUACUUCUUUGAUACACAACCCUUGUAUUUGUUUUCGCACUCAUAAUGUGUUUGUGAAAAUGCCUCAACCAGAUUAAUUCCCUGAUUUGAUGGAUGCUGCAAACAGAUCAGAAGAUGUGGAGCAAACCCUUGAAAUACAGGUCAAAGCCUUUUUUGACUCUGCUCCUCCUAUCCACAACAGUCAUGAUAUAACUCAAAAAUUGAAUCAAUUCAUUCAACAUAAUUCUUCAUCAUCAGGAAGCACAACAGGACCAGAGUUUGGAUAGUCCUGAUGACUUUUUCAAUGGAAUUGAAAGAAAUGGUCAUUUAGGAUUAUCCGCUCACGGCGAGGUCGAAGCUAAACAUCGAUUGGUUUUGGUUCAAUGGUUAAAUAGUUUUCUUCCUUCGUUGGACUUCUCGACGAAUGUCACGGAUGGUGAGUUAAGAGCGUGUUUAAGCAAUGGUACAGUUUUGUGCCAGAUACUUAACAAACUACGACCCGAUUCCGUGACUAUGGUUAGUGAGUCCGAUCAUUCGCUGCCAUCACAAUCCGAAAACGUUAAAACCUUUCUGAAAGCCUUGGAUGGAUUGGGGUUGCCGCGGUUUGAAAUAUCAGACCUAGAGAAGGUAUAAGAGACCUCACUUUAUACCGAUCUUUUUCGCAUCAUGAUUUUAUGCAUAGCAUUUGUUCAUGUUUCGUUGCCACUGUCUCUUUCGUUGCUUCUGUAAAAGAGAUUGGUUCCUGUUUUCUGUAUUUGAGAAACUUCUUUUGUGAUUCAGGUCUAAAGCAUAUGCAUGUUAAAAUAUUCUCACCAAGGGAUGCCGCCAUGCUCCACUGCACACGUGUUGCCACUUGUCUUUGUUAGCACAUUUCCAUUGCACAUGCUUCUCUGAUAAUUAAGUUGUACCAUGUUGCAUCUAACCCACUCUUUAACUAAAAACACUGAAGGGGAUUGCCACAUUAUUAGGAAAAAAAAUCUUUUUGAUUGUGUUAACUCUAGAUAUAUAACUAGAUGGUAUUCUUACUUUCCCAUAUGGGUCUUUGAAUUUGGCUCAUUUGGAACAAGAUGGGUGCAUAUAAUCACGAUGCUCCCACUUGAGAGGGGUAUGGUAAUAUACAUAGACCAUUUUAGGUUAGUUUGGCCUAUUAGGUCCACAUGUUAGGUUAUAAAUACUGUGUAUGUAUAUUUAUUCUUCUACCUUACUGAUUGGGUGAUGAAUGAAUUACUUUAUUCAGUUUUAUUUUCAACAGAGGUGAUAUAUUGAGGAUUUAAUAUAAAGAAAGGUUUGCAAAUUUAUAAUUACAAACCAAAAGGUGAUGUGAGAGCGAGCAGUGGGGUUCACAUUAUAGAAAGCAAGGGAGCAAGAGAGGAAGUUUUUAAAUUCAAUUUCACACAUAGUUUUUGAUUGGUUUUGAGAAAAUUAUGAUUCUAUUUUUAGUUUGUUGCAGUUAGGGAGCAUACUAUUGUUAUUUUUAGACAAAAAAGGUGUGCAAAAAUAUCACCACUACUAUAGUGAAAGACUGAAAGUGAUCCCAAGUUCCAUAAUGAAUAAAGUAACUAUAAAAAAAACUAGUCAUGCAUACUAAGUAUUGCUGGGGUCUCUUUCAGUAAGUUCUUGUCUUGUUUUCAACUAGAUUAAUUGCUUAAUUUUCCAUAUGCAGCUACUGCUGAAAGGCUUCAGGCUCUCAUUUUAGCUGAGUCUAUGGUUUCCAUAUUAGGAAACAAAGAUAAAAGAUACUAUGAGAAAUACUCUUCUAUAUUGAUGUGACGUGAUAAGAUGUUAUGAAAUAUAUUCUAGAUACUCAACAGUUUCAAUCCAUGCGUUUCUCUCACAUUUUGUGCCAAAUAGCAAGUGAAGUUAGGCAGGGACCUGAGGGGAUGAUACCCAAUCUCUUUUUCCUUUUUUUCCUAUUAUCUAGUGUGAUGGUUAAUUUUAUGCAAGUUUUGGUUAUACCUUUUCCUAUCAGCGUCAACUAUGUAGUAAUCUCUUUUAUAGCCGUCUUGAUUGCUCGAAAUGUGAUUCUCAUCUCACAUCUGAUGCUAGUUGGCACUGUUGGAAACUGCGGGUUUGUUCUUCUGAAUUGGAUAUAAUUUAUUUCUUCAUCACUAAUGCUCUAUAGGGACCCUUCUCGAUGAUGGCACAUUAACAAAGCUGAUACUACAACUUAAUGAAACAAUUGCUGUUGUGCUAGAGUAUUUAGAAGAUGCAAAGGUAAAUCUGAUUAUUAUUUUCUCAAGUACGAUGAUUCACGCAACUCGGCCUUUUGUAAUAAAUGAAUGGAUUCAAACAAAGAUUGAAGGAUAUGAGGUUUCUGGCACUGUUGAGGUGUGUUAAAUUGCACUUUUUAACUGUUGAAUGUGGGAAUUAUAUAUAAACAUAUUACAUGUAUCAUGUUUUGUUUCUAUAGUAAUAUAACAGAAAUAAAUUAUACAAUAUGGUGUAGUGAUUAUGAGAUCUCUGAGUUAGGCAUAGAUGUUUUCCUGCUAUGCAGCAUGUUGGCUGGUGGUCCUGGUCCCCAACAAUUAUACGAGGCGAAGGUCGUGAAGCUGUGCACAUUCCAAACCACAAAUUUACAGUGAAUGUUGUGCGAAACCUCAGUCAAAAAACACAUUGGAGAAUCAAAACUCACCUAGCCAUUAGUCAUUUGGAUGUAAAUAAGAUCAAUAACAUUGUUCCUGACAUGCGGAAAGUAUUAGCCAAAAAUCCUCAAGUUGAGCAGCAGAAGUUGCACAGGAGUGUUUUUGGACAAUAUAAACCCUGAAAAUCAGGCUCUCAUGGUAUGUAUGAACUGGUUAGACCGUUACUGUUUGUUGCAAUCAAUGAUUCUAUGCUAAUUGACUGGGAUCUUAAAUAAAAAUAAUUAUUUAUUCCUCUUUUCUAAAUUUGAUCCAUAAAACAACAGAGGAAAUAUUCUUUCUAUUUAUUAGAUUGAUGUAGCUCUUUCAGAUAAAGACAGAACAUGUAUUUAUUUUAAUAUGCUGCCUAUCUUUGACCGGGGGCUUUCGUGUGCAUUUUUAAUCUGCUGCCUACCUUCUACUGGAGUGCUUUCUGUAUUAUGCUUUCAAUAAUAUAUAUCCCUAGAUUUCAUUAGUCAGCUAUUAACUUCUCUUUGAAACUUUGGCUUUCUUCCACGUGUAAUACUUUAAACUUUUUAAUGUUAAUUCUAUUUGAGGUUACGUUGUAAAUGUCAUGAUUAAAUGCCUAAGGUACUUAAGAAGAUUAACUAAUACUUAAGCCAAGUAGGUAAUUUGUAUAGUUUAGUGUCUAAAGCCAGAGCAUGUUUGAACACUUAAUCCUAGUCAUACAAUUGAGGAGCUUCAAUAAACUUAU